rnacentral:rRNA from 1 species
GACGAACGCUGGCGGCGUGCUUAACACAUGCAAGUCGAACGGAAAGGCCCUGCUUUUGUGGGGUGCUCGAGGGGCGAACGGGUGAGUAACACGUGAGUAACCUGCCCUUGACUUUGGGAUAACUUCAGGAAACUGGGGCUAAUACCGGAUAGGAGCUCCUGCUCCAUGGUGGGGGUGGGAAAGUUUCGGCGGUUGGGGAUGGACUCGCGGCUUAUCAGCUUGUUGGUGGGGUAGUGGCUUACCAAGGCUUUGACGGGUAGCCGGCCUGAGAGGGUGACCGGCCACAUUGGGACUGAGAUACGGCCCAGACUCCUACGGGAGGCAGCAGUGAGGAAUAGUGCACAGUGGGCGGAAGCCUGAUGCAGCAACGCCGCGUGCGGGGAGACGGCCUUCGGGUUGUGAGCCGCUUUCGCCUGUGACGAAGCGUGAGUGACGGUAAUGGGUGAAGAAGCACCGGCUAACUACGUG